GACGAACGCUGGCGGCGUGCCUAAUACAUGCAAGUCGAGCGAAUUUAUGAGAGCUUGCUCUCGUAAAUUAGCGGCGGACGGGUGAGUAACACGUGGGCAACCUGCCUAUAAGACUGGGAUAACUUCGGGAAACCGGAGCUAAUACCGGAUAAUUCACAUCUACUUAUGUAGAUGUGCUGAAAGACGGUUUCGGCUGUCACUUAUAGAUGGGCCCGCGGCGCAUUAGCUAGUUGGUGAGGUAACGGCUCACCAAGGCAACGAUGCGUAGCCGACCUGAGAGGGUGAUCGGCCACACUGGGACUGAGACACGGCCCAGACUCCUACGGGAGGCAGCAGUAGGGAAUCUUCCGCAAUGGACGAAAGUCUGACGGAGCAACGCCGCGUGAACGAAGAAGGCCUUCGGGUCGUAAAGUUCUGUUGUUAGGGAAGAACAAGUACCAGAGUAACUGCUGGUACCUUGACGGUACCUAACCAGAAAGCCACGGCUAACUACGUGCCAGCAGCCGCCGUAAUAC
rnacentral:rRNA from 1 species